rnacentral:sRNA from 1 species
AAAAUCUGAACAAAAUGAGUGAGAACUCACUACCGUCUCCUCAUCGAAACUGAGGUCCAGCACGUUGCCUCCCUUGGGGUUAAGGGUGGGACUGGUUAGCAGUGAAUGCAUCUCCGACUGUGUCACACACAUGCAUGGAAGAGCCAGAUCACUGCCAUUUGUGAGGCUCCCGUCUGAGGGUGGGCCGUGUACAGAUGCUGGAGUGGCUCUUGGAAUGCGAGAUCUGUGGUGAAGGGCACUGGAGCAUAGAGGCAUCUGGCUUGUCCAGUGGUGGCAGGAGUCAGCAGUAGAUCCUGGCUGAGCUCUUGAGCUGUUCACUCGAAAAGGUGAAGUUCCCAAGUACGAGUGUCCGUCACACAAGAAACAGAGCCCCACUCGUGAGGUGGUGACUCGAGGUGCUAAGGAGUCCGGUGAGAAGUGUGGCGGGCCCAGGUUGCUGCCACUGCUUUUUGGAUCACUGAGCACGGUACGCCUUCCCCUGCCCCAAGACGUGUCAUGAAUUUCAGCUUUCCUGGGACUGCCUGAGUGGCUGUACAUAUGGAGGGACCGUUCCUCUUGCUGAGAAGCCUGAGGACUCUGAGUUCCCCUGGCUGCUGGAGGACUUCCAGGUCACUGGCUCUUCCUGGGAGCGGCCCUGCCUCCCCUGCAGAGGUGGGCAGUAAGCCAGCACGUGCUCGGAUCGAUGAUGACACCCUCACAUGCAUUCCUUGGAAAAUCUGAACAAAAUGAGUGAGAACUCACUACCGUCUCCUCA